rnacentral:lncRNA from 10 species
CCGCCUCGGCCUCCCAAAGUGCUGGGAUUACAGGCGUGAGCCACCGCGCCCGGCCUAGAAUCUGCUUUUUAACAACAUAAUUCAAGUUUGAGAAGCUCUGCUAAAAAAAAAAAAAAGCAACAAAAAAGAUGCCCUUCCUUACCUGUUCAGGUACGUGGUUUCUUCAAAUGUUCCUGUGUCUUCCCUAAAUACAAACCUACUUUCUCUGCUGGAUCCUCUCAACCACAUCUAAACAUUUAAAUCUCUCCCAUUCUAAAUCAACAUUCAAGCCAUUUUUAAAAACUGCCCUAUAACCUCUUAUCUCCAGGUAGUGAAUGAUUUAUGCUCUUUUCCUCUACAAAGCCAAACAUCUUCAAAGACUUUCUUAUAUUCUAUUUCUAUUUUGCUUCCUUUAUUUCUCAACACACUUUUAAAAGAGAUCAUUAGCUGUUGUCCCCUAUCAAGUCUUCCUCUUUUUCAUGGUAAUAAUACCCUAGCAUUUAGCCAGGCACCUGACUGUAAAGACGCUAAAGACUGUAAAGGCACUUGAGUAAAUAUCAUUUUCUAGCUUCCCUUCCAGUUCUGUGUGCCCAUGUUUCUAGGUUCUGAUUGUUGGGAUGCUAAUGGAAAUGAUAUGUGUAUCUUCUGAGAAAUUAUCUUAAAUGGAGAGAGUAUAACCUUCUUGUUUCUUACCUCUUUUCUUCUGGUGCAAUGUGGAUGAAAUGCUCAAAUGCCACCAGCCAACAUGGACCAUAAAUUAAAUUUGGAAUGGAAGCCACACAUGACAUGGGAACAAGAUGGAAAACUUUAGGUUAUCAUUGGGAUUUCCUGGCUUUUCCAAUCAACCUAUGGCCUCUAACAAGCUCACAAAACAGCAGGCUGAAGCUAUGUUCAUCUAAAAGCAAAACAUUUGGUCAAUUAAACCAAUUUAAUAAAAAAAC